rnacentral:rRNA from 1 species
UGCGUAGGGUGCAAGCGUUAAUCGGAAUUACUGGGCGUAAAGCGUGCGCAGGCGGUUAUGCAAGACAGAUGUGAAAUCCCCGGGCUCAACCUGGGAACUGCAUUUGUGACUGCAUGGCGAGAGUACGGUAGAGGGGGAUGGAAUUCCGCGUGUAGCAGUGAAAUGCGUAGAUAUGCGGAGGAACACCGAUGGCGAAGGCAAUCCCCUGGACCUGUACUGACGCUCAUGCACGAAAGCGUGGGGAGCAAACAGG